rnacentral:rRNA from 1 species
AACGAACGCUGGCGGCGCGUCUUAAACAUGCAAGUCGAACGAUCUGUAGCAAUACAGGGAGUGGCGGACGGGUGAGGAACACGUAGGAAUCUACCUUGAAGAGCGGGACAACUUUGGGAAACCGGGGCUAAAUACCGCAUAGUACAGAGAUGUUAAAGGGCUAGCAAUAGUCGCUUCGAGAUGAGCCUGCGGUCUAUCAGCUUGUUGGUGAGGUAAUGGCUCACCAAGGCUACGACGGAUAGCCGGUCUGAGAGGAUGAUCGGCCACACUGGCACUGAGACACGGGCCAGACUCCUACGGGAGGCAGCAGUUAAGAAUCUUGCGCAAUGGGGGAAACCCUGACGCAGCGACGCCGCGUGAAGGAUG